rnacentral:misc_RNA from 1 species
GAAAUGCGAUAAGUAGAGUGAAUUGCAGAAUUCAGUGAAUCAUCGAAUCUUUGAACGCACAUUGCGCCCCUUGGUAUUCCAUGGGGCAUGCCUGUUCGAGCGUCAUUUGUACCCUCAAGCUCUGCUUGGUGUUGGGUGUUUGUCCCGUCUCCGCGCGUGGACUCGCCCCAAAGUGAUUGGCAGCCGGCGUACUGGUCCCGGAGCGCAGCACAUGUCGCGCAAACGAGUGCCUUGGUACGGCGGCGUCCAUAAGCCCCUCUCUCACGCUCUUGACCUCGGAUCAGGUAGGGAUACCCGCUGAACUUAAGC